CCUCUCUGCCGCUCUGCUCAAACUCCAGAUCAGUGAACCCAGUCGAGACCAGUACUGGAUCUGAUAAUCCCUUGGAUAGCUCUAGCUUGAAUCAGGAAUUGACCUUGAUUUUGGGAACCACCACAUUGGGCUGUUUGGGGAGAAAGUGCCCUAUUUCUAUUCCCGAAACAAACCAAAGAUGCAUGCAGUGACAGUGACUCGGAAUGUGGUGCUGGAGGCUGGACAAGAGAACCUGGUACGAGGAAAUGUUCACUACAGGGACCUCUACCAUGGACUCACCAGCCUGGUGCAGCAUGACAUCAUAACCUCGCCAGGCACUCCAGUCAAGCAGCCACCACGCCGGAUAAUGUCUGAGAAGCAACAGAGUGCUGAUCACCAGAUACAGCAGAGAUUGAGAGCAGGACUGACACGCCAGCAGUUUUGGCAGGAAGCCAUCCUGCAAGCUGGAUGUUUUUAACCUUCUUCCCCUGGAUAAACCUGGUGGUUUACUGCAUGUGGGUCAGAUCUCUUAAGAAAAUCAUGACACACCAGGCCAACCUUAAACUAAAACCUGCCAGGUGUUUUCUCUUCCACCGCCAGAUUGCCUACCUAGGGCACAUUGUCUCGGAGGGUGGUGUGGCCACUGACCCCAGAAAGUUCCAGAAGGUGCAGAAGUGGCACACUCCAUCAUCAAUCCAGGAGGUCCACCGAUUUAUUGGCCUUGAAUCAUACUAUUAACAGUUUGUGAAAGACUUUGCUUCCAUAGGCGAACCCCUCCACAACCUGUCAAAGAAACACGCCUAGUUUCAGUGGACGGAGGAAUGCCAAGGCAUUUGAUAAACUCAAGCAUCUGUUAACUACUUCACCAGUCUUGGGGUUCCCACUCGACCCGGGCAAUAUGAUAUCCGACACUGACGCAAGCGAUGUUAGCAUCGGUGCCAUCCUCUCCCAAGUUCAACAGGUUAGAGACAUGUGCUGGCCUAUUGGAGUUGCAAACUGUCCAAGACUGAACAGAACUAUUGCACCACA